GAUGAAGAACGUAGCAAAAUGCGAUAAGUAAUGUGAAUUGCAGAAUUCAGUGAAUCAUCGAAUCUUUGAACGCACAUUGCGCCCGCUGGUAUUCCGGCGGGCAUGCCUGUUCGAGCGUCAUUUCAACCCUCAAACCCCCGGGUUUGGUGUUGGGGAUCGGCUCUGCCUCACGGCGGUGCCGCCCCCGAAAUACAUUGGCGGUCUCGCUGCAGCCUCCAUUGCGUAGUAGCUAACACCUCGCAACUGGAACGCGGCGCGGCCAUGCCGUAAAACCCCAACUUCUGAAUGUUGACCUCGGAUCAGGUAGGAAUACCCGCUGAACUUAAGCAUAUCAAUAACGGAGGA
rnacentral:misc_RNA from 1 species